rnacentral:rRNA from 1 species
AUGAACGCUAGCGGCAGGCUUAACACAUGCAAGUCGAGGGGCAGCGUGGAGCAGCAAUGCUCUGACGGCGACCGGCGGAAGGGUGCGUAACACGUGAGCGACUUGCCCGUCACAGGGGGAUAACCGGCGGAAACGGCGACUAAUACCCCAUACGAUGCGAUGCUGCAUGGCAUUGCAUUGAAAGAUUCAUCGGUGGCGGAUAGGCUCGCGGGACAUUAGCUAGACGGCGGGGCAACGGCCCACCGUGGCGACGAUGUCUAGGGGUUCUGAGAGGAAGGUCCCCCACAUUGGAACUGAGACACGGUCCAAACUCCUACGGGAGGCAGCAGUGAGGAAUAUUGGUCAAUGGACGAGAGUCUGAACCAGCCAAGUAGCGUGCAGGAAGACGGCCCUAUGGGUUGUAAACUGCUUUUAUAAGGGAAUAAAGUGAGUCUCGUGAGACUUUUUGCAUGUACCUUAUGAAUAAGGACCGGCUAAUUCCGUG